rnacentral:rRNA from 1 species
CGCGUGCACUGGUCCGGCCCGGGCCUUUCCCUCUGUGGAACUCCAUGCCCUUCACUGGGUGUGGCAGGGAAGCAGGACUUUUACUUUGAAAAAAUUAGAGUGCUCCAGGCAGGCCUAUGCUCGAAUACAUUAGCAUGGAAUAAUAGAAUAGGACGCGCGGUUCUAUUUUGUUGGUUUCUAGGACCGCCGUAAUGAUUAAUAGGGACAGUCGGGGGCAUCAGUAUUCAAUUGUCAGAGGUGAAAUUCUUGGAUUUAUUGAAGACUAACUACUGCGAAAGCAUUUGCCAAGGAUGUUUUCAUUAAUCAGGAACGAAAGUUAGGGGAUCGAAAACGAUCAGAUACCGUUGUAGUCUUAACCAUAAACUAUGCCGACUAGGGAUCGGGCGACGUUAUUACUUGACUCGCUCGGCACCUUACGAGAAAUCAAAGUGCUUGGGCUCCAGGGGGAGUAUGGUCGCAAGGCUGAAACUUAAAGAAAUUGACGGAAGGGCACCACCAGGGGUGGAGCCUGCGGCUUAAUUUGACUCAACACGGGGAAACUCACCAGGUCCAGACACAAUGAGGAUUGACAGAUUGAGAGCUCUUUCUUGAUUUUGUGGGUGGUGGUGCAUGGCCGUUCUUAGUUGGUGGGGUGACUUGUCUGCCUAAUCGCGAUAACGAACGAGACCUUAACCUGCUAAAUAGCCCGUAUUGCUUUGGCAGUACGCUGGCUUCUUAGAGGGACUAUCGG